rnacentral:rRNA from 1 species
AGAUAACACUCCAAGAGCACAUGGUGGAUGCCUAGACAUCACAUAACGAAGAAGGACGUAGUAGCCUGCGAAAAGCCUCGGUUAGGUGGCAAGCAACCUUUGACCCGGGGAUCUCCGAAUGGGUAAACCCACUGCAUGGAAGAUGCAGUAUCCUUAUUUUAUAAGGAAGACUACCUGGUGAAGUGAAACAUCUCAGUAGCCAGAGGAAAAGAAACCAAUAGGUAUUCCCUUAGUAGUGGCGAGCGAAAAGGGAGGAGUCUAAACCAUAUAAUCCGGAAAUUUGGUUCGGUAUAUCUGUAGCAAUACAUAUAUAUCUGCUAAAUGGACGGCAAUCGGGCUAAAGGAUUAUAUGGGGUCGUGGGACCGUAUCGUGGGUACGCUGAUUCGUGCCCGAUAAUGAUAUAGAUUAGUAACACAAGCGUCUGGAAAGACGCGCCAAAGAAGGUGAAAGCCCUGUAUGUGAAACUACUCUGUAUAUUGUAGAUAUGAGUUCCCAAGUACCACGCGCCUCGUGAAAGCGAGUGGGAAUCCGCCGGGACUAUCCGGUAAGACUAAAUAUAUGUGAUGAUCGAUAGUGAACUAGUACCGUGAGGGAAAGGUGAAAAGUAGCCCGGAAGGGCGAUGAAAUAGUAUCUGAAACCAUGUGCUUACAAUGAGUCGAAGCCCCGUAAGGGGUGACGGCGUUCCUAUUGAAGAAUGAGCCAACGAGUUUGCUGUACGUUGCCUGUUUAAUUUGCGCAAGCAAAGUAGGCGUAGGGAAACCGAGUCUUAACCGGCGACAUCUCUUUUAUGAGUUUGGCCUGUGUAUACAACGCCAAGCCCAUAGGAGAGAUAAUCGCAGCGUACACAAGACACGAAACCGGGUGAGCUAGCCUUGGCCAGGGUGAGUCCCUUAGAAAUAAGGGAGGAGGCCCGAACCCACAUGCUGUGCAACACAUGGGGAUGAGCUGAGGUUAGGGGAGAAAUUCCAACCGAACUCGGUGAUAGCUUGUUUUCCUCGAAACAGUUUUUGGACUGGCCUUCUUGUGGCAGCCAGAGGUAGAGCACUGAAUGGGGAUGGGUGGAGAAAUCCUACCAUUCCUAACCAAACUCCGAAUGCUGGUAUUGCUAUACAAGGGGAGUUAGACUAUGGGGGCUAAGCUCCAUCAGUCAAAAGGGAAACAGCCCAGAUCGCCAUCUAAGGUCCCUAAAUCCAUAUUAAGUGUAAAAGGCAGUGUCGCGACUCUGACAAUCAGGAGGUUGGCUUAGAGGCAGCCAUCCUUUAAAGAAAGCGUAACAGCUCACUGAUCAAGUUGUUUCGCGCCAAAAAUAUACCGGGGCUAAAUAUGGUACCGAAGAUGCGGGUGUUAUCGUUUACGAUAACACGGUAGAGGAACGUUCCCAACGGCGUUGAAGCGGCAGCCGUGAGGCACCGUGGAGUGUUGGGAAGUGCGAAUGUUGGCAUAAGUAGCAAAAAGUGAAGUGAGAACCUUCACCACCGAAAAUCCAAGGUUUCCUGGGCAACGCAAAUCGCCCCAGGGUUAGUCGAGUCCUAAGGCGAGUCCUCGUAUAAUGAGGGGUAGUCGAUGGAUAACAGGUUAAUAUUCCUGUACUACAUAAUGAUUUCGAUGCGGGACACGGUAUCAAGCUCCAAGCGCAUUUUGGUUAUAUGCGUCUAACCCGUUGUAAUACGGGGAGUGCGAGUGGGUAGCAAUACUCGCGAGUUGGGGGGCGAAGCCGUCAAGAAAAGCGCUAAGAGUUAAUCAUUGUGUACUCGUACCGCAAACCGACACAGGUGGAUGGGUUGAGAAUACUAAGGUGCACGAGAGAACCCUUGUUCAGGAACUCGGCAAAAAAGCUAGGCGUAACUUCGGGAUAUGCCUUGCCUACCGCAAGGUAGGCCGCAGCUAAC